GACGAACGCUGGCGGCGUGCUUAACACAUGCAAGUCGAGCGGAGCGGCGAACGGGUGAGUAACUCGUGAGUAACUGCCCCCCUCCCUGGGAUAACAGAUGGAAACGGCUGCUAAUACCGGAUAGUGGGGGAUGACUCGUGUCCUAUCAGCUUGUUGGUGGGGUAGUGGCCUACCAAGGCGACGACGGGUAGCCGGCCUGAGAGGGCGACGGGCCACAUUGGGCUUAGAGACGGCGCCAACCCCGACGGGAGGAAGCAGGGGGGAAGAUUGCACAACUGGGGAAACCCUGAUGCAGCAACGCGCGUGCGGUAUGACGGCCUUCGGGUUGUAAACCGCUUUCAGCUAUGACGCGGUAGUGGCAGAAGAAGCACCGGCUAACUACGUGCCAGCAGCCGCGGUAAUAC
rnacentral:rRNA from 1 species